rnacentral:rRNA from 1 species
CCUACGGGUGGCAGCAGUGGGGAAUAUUGCACAAUGGGCGCAAGCCUGAUGCAGCGACGCCGCGUGCGGGAUGGAGGCCUUCGGGUUGUAAACCGCUUUUAUAGGGGGGCAAGCUAUGCCUGUGUGGUGUGGUGAGUGGACUUUAUGAAUAAGCACCGGCUAACUACGUGCCAGCAGCCGCGGUAAUACGUAGGGUGCAAGCGUUGUCCGGAUUUAUUGGGCGUAAAGGGCUCGUAGGCGGUUUGUUGCGUCUGGUGUGAAAGCUUACUGCUUAACGGUAGGUUGCGCUGGAUACGGGCAGGCUUGAGUGCAGUAGGGGAGACUGGAAUUCUCGGUGUAACGGUGGAAUGUGUAGAUAUCGGGAAGAACACCUAUGGCGAAGGCAGGUCUCUGGGCUGUUACUGACGCUGAGGAGCGAAAGCGUGGGGAGCGAACAGGAUUAGAUACCCGGGUAGUC